rnacentral:tRNA from 1 species
GCGCCAUUCGUCUAAUUGGAUAAAACACCAUAAUUCUAGUGUGAUUGAUGCGGGUUCGAGUCCUGCAUGGCGUGCCA